rnacentral:rRNA from 1 species
GACGAACGCUGGCGGCGUGCCUAAUACAUGCAAGUAGAACGCUGAAGGAGGAGCUUGCUCUUCUGGAUGAGUUGCGAACGGGUGAGUAACGCGUAGGUAACCUGCCUGGUAGCGGGGGAUAACUAUUGGAAACGAUAGCUAAUACCGCAUAACAGUAGAUGCUGCAUGACAUUUACUUAAAAGGUGCAAUUGCAUCACUACCAGAUGGACCUGCGUUGUAUUAGCUAGUUGGUGGGGUAACGGCUCACCAAGGCGACGAUACAUAGCCGACCUGAGAGGGUGAUCAGCCACACUGAGACUGAGACACGCCCCAGAGUCCUACGGGAGGGAGCAGUAGGGAAUCUGCAGCAAUGGGCGGAAGUCUGACCGAGCAACGCCGCGUGAGUGAGGAGGGUUUUCGGAUCGUAGAGCUCUGUUGUAAGGGAGGAACGAGUGUGAGAGUGGAAAGUACACACUGUGACGGUAUCUUACCAGAAAGGGACGGCUAACUACGUG